rnacentral:rRNA from 1 species
ACCUUGGCCGAAAGGUCUGGGUAAUCUUGUUAAACUCCGUCGUGCUGGGGAUAGAGCAUUGCAAUUAUUGCUCUUCAACGAGGAAUGCCUAGUAAGCGCAUGUCAUCAGCAUGCGUUGAUUACGUCCCUGCCCUUUGUACAC